rnacentral:rRNA from 1 species
UACGAAGGGGGCUGGCGUUGCUCGGAAUCACCGGGCGUAAAGGGUGCGUAGGCGGGUCUUUAAGUCAGGGGUGAAAUCCUGGAGCUCAACUCCAGAACUGCCUUUGAUACUGAAGAUCUUGAGUUCGGGAGAGGUGAGUGGAACUGCGAGUGUAGAGGUGAAAUUCGUAGAUAUUCGCAAGAACACCAGUGGCGAAGGCGGCUCACUGGCCCGAUACUGACGCUGAGGCACGAAGGCGUGGGGAGCAAACAGG